rnacentral:rRNA from 1 species
UUAAGCAUAUCAAUAAGCGGAGGAAAAGAAACUAACAAGGAUUCCCCUAGUAACGGCGAGUGAAGAGGGAAGAGCCCAAGAUUGAAAGCUGGCGUCUUCGGCGUCCGCAUUGUAAUCUCAAGAAGUGUUUUCCGCUUCGGACCAUGCCUAAGUCCUUUGGAAAAAGGCAUCAUAGAGGGUGAUAAUCCCGUACAUGGCAUGGAGCGCCCGAGGCUUUGUGAUACGCUUUCUAAGAGUCGAGUUGUUUGGGAAUGCAGCUCAAAAUGGGUGGUAAAUGCCAUCUAAGGCUAAAUAUUGGGGAGAGACCGAUAGCGAACAAGUACAGUGAUGGAAAGAUGAAAAGAACUUUGAAAAGAGAGUUAAACAGUACGUGAAAUUGCCAAAAGGGAAGGGUAGGAGGUCAGAGAUGCGUCUUGGGAUUCAGCCUUGCAUUUUUGUUUGGUGUUUUUCCCAAGUUUGCAGGCCAACGUCGGUUUUGGGCACUGGAGAAGGGUGGAAGGAAUGUGGCACCUCUCGGGGUGUGUUAUAGCCUUCUACUGGAUACAGCGACCGAGACCGAGGACAGCAGCGUACUCGCAAGAGCGGGCCUUCGGGCACCUUUACGCUUAGGGCGUUGGCAUAAUGGCCCUCUACCACCCGUCUUGAAACACGGACCAAGGAGUCUAACAUGUAUGCGAGUCUUUGGGUGGCAAACCCAUAGGCGCAAUGAAAGUGAAUUCAGGUGGGAUCCGCAAGGUGCACCAUCGACCGAUCCUCACGUCUUUUAAGUCGUGGAUUUGAGUAAGAGCAUACCUGUUGGGACCCGAAAGAUGGUGAACUAUGCCUGAAUAGGGUGAAGCCAGAGGAAACUCUGGUGGAGGCUCGUAGCGGUUCUGACGUGCAAAUCGAUCGUCAAAUUUGGGUAUAGGGGCGAAAGACUAAUCGAACCAUUUAAAUAAUAUGCUAGGUGGUUAAGAGGUGGCUAAAAGGGCACACCUAGUGGGCGCUGAAGCUCGCGACACUGUCAAAAUGCGGGGACACCCUAAAGCUUUCAAUACCAAGCCGGCGUGGAAACACAGUCGGUGGCCGAGUUAACAACCCUGGGUAUGGUAAAAACUUGAAAGAUGAUAACAAUGGGCAAUCCGCAGCCAAGCUCUAAGGGUCGUAAAAAACCUAUGAGUGCAGUCCACAGACUAUAUGGCAAUGGGUUUYGUCUUUGGAGACGAGGCUUAAGAUAUAGUCGGUCCUCUCUCGAAAGAGAGCCGGAGGAAAAAAGAUUGAGGUUCUUCAGCAACAGACCUC